GAUGAACGCUGGCGGCGUGCCUAAUACAUGCAAGUCGAACGCUUCACUUCGGUGAAGAGUGGCGAACGGGUGAGUAAUACAUAAGUAACCUGGCAUCUACAGGGGGAUAACUGAUGGAAACGUCAGCUAAGACCGCAUAGGUGUAGAGAUCGCAUGAACUCUAUAUGAAAAGUGCUACGGGACUGGUAGAUGAUGGACUUAUGGCGCAUUAGCUAGUUGGUAGGGUAACGGCCUACCAAGGCGACGAUGCGUAGCCGACCUGAGAGGGUGACCGGCCACACUGGGACUGAGACACGGCCCAGACUCCUACGGGAGGCAGCAGUAGGGAAUUUUCGGCAAUGGGGGAAACCCUGACCGAGCAACGCCGCGUGAAGGAUGAAGGUUUUCGGAUUGUAAACUUCUUUUAUUAAGGACGAAGAAAGUGACGGUACUUAAUGAAUA
rnacentral:rRNA from 1 species